rnacentral:lncRNA from 1 species
AUUAUUAUUAUCAUCAUCAUCAUCAUCAUCAUCAUCAUCAUCAUCAUUAUUAUUAUUAUUAUUAUUAUUAUUAUUGUUGUUGUUGGGUAAUUUCCCUGUGUCUAUCUCGCUUUCUCUGAGCGCGUUCACUGUUAUUUUCGCCUCCCUUUCCUCACCCGGCGUGUCGGAAAAGGACGCCUUGACGCGCAGGGGCGGGUCGCCGCUUCGCUCCGCUCCGCUCGAAGUUUCCUCUUUCUCACCGUAUAAAGGGCGGCUGCCAGCGCCAUGGCCGGGAACGAGCACAGCCGCGUUCCGUUCCGCCGUCACUCGGGAACCCUGCGCUCAUCGCCCUCCUUCGUCUUCAUCCUUUUUGCUUCAUUAUCAUUCCGUGCCGGCGAUGACCGCCAUGGAUGUGGAAGCGCUGCACCCGCCGGCGGCGUCGGCCAGCAGCCGCGGCGCGCGGCUCCGCACGUGCCUGCUCGCCUCAGUGGGCGCGCUUUUCGUCUGCGUGCUGGGGGUCUCCCUCGCGGUGACCCUCCUCGCGCUCGGGAUCCAGGGCGAGCUGGAUAAGCUUUGGGAAAAGAAGGUGCAGAGCUCUGCACAUCUGGAAAUUGCUCAUAGUCAUUUGAGUAAUAUAACCCUAAGGUGGACAGCGAAGAACCUUGGCAGCAGGUUCAACUACUCAGAGGAAAUCCACGCCCUGGAGGUCAUGCACAGCGGCAUGUACCUGAUGUACCUGAACCUGGGAGUGCGCUGCCCCCAUGAGGCCCAGGGGGGCUGUGGGCAGACCUCCGUUGCGGUCAGUGUGAAUGACAUGCACAGUACCAAGCUGGAGUGCAGGAUGGAGCUCCCUGCAAGCCAUCCCUGCCAGAAAGUGCACCGGUGCUUGGCCGCGGUGAUGCUGCGCGGAAACCAGCGGCUGUUGAUCAAUAUGAAGGUGAAGGGCGACUCUCAGCGCUGGAAACUGGAACGGGACAGCACCAGAUUUGGGCUGGUGCCGGUGGACUCGUCGACAGCCUGAAGAAGCGAGGCCCCGGAAGGACCGGAACACCGAGGGACGCAGCGUGCUGGGGUCGACAGAGAAAGAUGAUCACAGACCAGCCAACAGUUACAGAAACGGGAGGCUCCCUGUCCCGUCAGCUGUCGCUUGACGAAUAUUGUAGCAGAAUGGAUUGUUUCCGCAGAAACACGUGAGAACAAUGAUGCUGCCUGUGUCUCCAAGGAGCACAGCACCACACGUCGCCAGGAGAGGAUGCUGAGCACCUCUUCUGGCCACCUCCGUACACCUGACUGACUGUAAAACCAUUUUCUAUUUUUAUACACUUCAAGUAUUUAUUUUUAUAUUAUAUAUGUUCUGUUUUCUAUGUCUUCACAUUUUUGAAGUAUUUGCACAGAGCACUACGGUGGAAAAAAAAACGUUAUGAAUACUGUAAGCACUUUAGCGUAACUAACACUCAGGGCUCGGACACAUCAGUGAUGUUGUUAUCUCUGCUGCUACUGCAGAGAGAGCAAACGUGGUUGUCAGCUUCGUGCUUCUCCUCCAUGUUUCUUUCUUUGUUUGUUUGGACUCCUUGUUUACCAGGCGAUAUUACAGCUGACACGGAGAGUCCUGAGGAAUGUGGACUUGGCUAUGGCUAGGCCAUUCAGAAGAGUUUCCACUCUCUCUACAAUGUCUUCUUGCAUUCAUUAUUUAUUAUUAUUAUUAUUAUUAUUAUUAUUAUUAUUAUUAUUGUAUUGUUGUUGUGAUUGUUGAUGAACAAUUCUUAAAUGUGUUCAUGUGGGCGAGGUUCAAGGCUGUAUGAAUCUGUGUGCCUCUCCUUGUCUCUUACCCACAAUGAGUGUGAACGUUUUUUUUUUCGGUUUGUCCAGAUCUUUCCUCGGUCAAAUGUUCAAACUGUCGAAGAAAGUAGAAUAAAAAUGAUUUUGUAUAACA